rnacentral:rRNA from 1 species
AUUGAACGCUGGCGGCAGGCCUAACACAUGCAAGUCGAGCGGUAGCACAGAGAGCUUGCUCUCGGGUGACGAGCGGCGGACGGGUGAGUAAUGUCUGGGAAACUGCCUGAUGGAGGGGGAUAACUACUGGAAACGGUAGCUAAUACCGCAUAACGUCGCAAGACCAAAGUGGGGGACCUUCGGGCCUCAUGCCAUCAGAUGUGCCCAGAUGGGAUUAGCUGGUAGGUGGGGUAACGGCUCACCUAGGCGACGAUCCUUAGCUGGUCUGAGAGGAUGACCAGCCACACUGGAACGGAGACACGGUCCAGACUCCUACGGGAGGCAGCAGUGGGGAAUAUUGCACAAUGGGCGCAAGCCUGAUGCAGCCAUGCCGCGUGUGUGAAGAAGGCCUUCGGGUUGUAAAGCACUUUCAGCGGGGAGGAAGGCAUUAAGGUUAAUAACCUUAGUGAUUGACGUUACCCGCAGAAGAAGCACCGGCUAACUCCGUGCCAGCAGCCGCCGUAA